GAGCCCGUGAAUCCGGGCGGCAGAAUUCAGAAUCGACGGGACGCGAGUUCCGUCUAUUUGAUAUUUCUGUCGCCAUACGCACGGACGUCGCGACCUGUUCGAUGUCGGUCCUUGUUCCAGGAACCGCGUUCGAGUUCGCUGUCGGAGUGCACGUUCGCGUGCGUUUCGACGACGAAGGCGCGGACUUCUGGCCGACUUGUCGGACAGUAGGUCAACGGGGGUGGCCGGCGUCGUCUUCGGACGRUGUCGGUGCCGGUCAGCGACGAAUCUUCGGGCCUCUUUCCGACC
rnacentral:rRNA from 1 species